rnacentral:rRNA from 1 species
AAAAACAUCGCUCUUUGUUUACCUAAUAUAAAGAGUCGAACCUGCCCAGUGAUUUAAUUUAACGGCCGCGGUACUCUGACCGUGCAAAGGUAGCAUAAUCAUUUGCCUUAUAAUUGAAGGCUAGUAUGAAUGGUUUGACAAGAAUAGUACUGUCUCUAUAUAAAUUUUAUAGAAUUUGGUUUUUAGGUGAAGAAACCUAAAUAAAAUUGAAAGACAAGAAGACCCUAUCGAGCUUGAAAUAAUUUUUUUGAUAUCUAUAUUAAGACUAAUUUCAUUAAAAAAUUUUGGUUGGGGCGACUAAGGAACAUUUAAAGCUUCCUAUAAAAUAUAUAAACCUAUAUGUUUUGAUCCAAAAAUUUUGAUUAACAGAAUUAGUUACCGUAGGGAUAACAGCAUAAUCUUUUUUAAGAGUUCUUAUCGAAAAAAAGGUUUGUGACCUCGAUGUUGGACUAGGAUACCCAGAAAGGUGCAGAAGCCUUCAAUGGUUGGUCUGUUCGACCAUUAAUAUCCUACGUGAUCU